AUUGAACGCUGGCGGCAGGCCUAACACAUGCAAGUCGAGCGGGGACUUCGGUCCUAGCGGCGAACGGGUGAGUAAUGCUUGGGAAUCUGCCCAGUAGUGGGGGAUAACGUCCCGAAAGGGACGCUAAUACCGCAUACGUCCUACGGGAGAAAGAGGGGGAUCUUCGGACCUCUCGCUAUUGGAUGAGCCCAAGUCGGAUUAGCUAGUUGGUAGGGUAAUGGCCUACCAAGGCGACGAUCCGUAGCUGGUCUGAGAGGAUGAUCAGCCACACUGGAACUGAGACACGGUCCAGACUCCUACGGGAGGCAGCAGUGAGGAAUAUUGGACAAUGGGCGAAAGCCUGAUCCAGCCAUGCCGCGUGUGUGAAGAAGGCCUUCGGGUUGUAAAGCACUUUAAGCGGGGAGGAAGGUUCGCGGCCUAAUACGUCGCGGAAUUGACGUUACCCGCAGAAUAAGCACCGGCUAACUCUGUG
rnacentral:rRNA from 1 species